UACGAAGGGUGCAAACGUUGCUCGGAAUCAUUGGGCGUAAAGCGCACGUAGGCGGCUUCAAAAGUCGGAUGUGAAAUCCCUCGGCUCAACCGAGGACGUGCAUCCGAAACUGCGGAGCUUGAGUAUGGAAGAGGGUCGCGGAAUCCCCGGUGUAGAGGUGAAAUUCGUAGAUAUCGGGGGGAACACCAGUGGCGAAGGCGGCGACCUGGGCCAAUACUGACGCUGAGGUGCGAAAGCGUGGGGAGCAAACAGG
rnacentral:rRNA from 1 species